rnacentral:tRNA from 2 species
ACUCUUUUAGUUUAUCUAUAAAAUAUAACUCUGAAGAAGUUAAGAAUUUAGGAGUA